rnacentral:rRNA from 1 species
CAAUAGCGUAUAUUAAAGUUGUUGCAGUUAGAACGCUCGUAGUCGGAUUUCGGGGCGGGCCGACCGGUCUGCCGAUGGGUAUGCACUGGUCGGCGCGUCCUUCCUUCCGGAGACCGUCCCUACUCUUAACUGAGCGGGGGCGGGAGACGGGACUUUUACUUUGAAAAAAUCAGAGUGUUUCAAGCAGGCAGCUCGCUCUUGCAUGGAUUAGCAUGGGAUAAUGAAAUAGGACUUUGGUGCUAUUUUGUUGGUUUCGAACACCGAAGUAAUGAUGAGAAGGGACAGUCAGGGGCACUCGUAUUCCGCAGAGAGAGGUGAAAUUCUCAGACCCGCGGAAGACGAACCACUGCGAAAGCAUUUGCCAGGGAUGUUUUCACUG